AUGGCGUCUUCACUCUUCAUCAUUGCCAUCCUCCUCACCGUCGCCGCAACCGACGCGGCCACCAUCACGGUCGUGAACAAGUGCUCCUACACGGUGUGGCCAGCUGCUAUCCCGGUGGGAGGCGGGACCAAGCUCGAACCGGGCCAGAUGUCCACAAUCCACCCGCCCGCCGGCACAAAUUCUGGCAGGAUCUGGGCGCGUACGGGCUGCAAAUUCGACGCCAGUGGCAAGGGGUCCUGUACCACGGGAGACUGCGGCGGCGUGCUAGCCUGCCGUGUCGGCGUGAAGCCACCCGCCUCGCUCGCCGAGUACACUCUGGGGACAGGCAGCAAUGCUGACUUCUACGACAUCUCCCUCGUCGACGGAUUCAACUGCCCGUCGGAGCUGAAGGUGAACGGGGGCUGCAUGAGUGCCUGCGGCAAGUUCGGCACCCCACAAUACUGCUGCCCGGCGCCAAGUACGCCGGCGACCUGCGGGCCGACGAGCUACUCGCGUUUCUUCAAGGGGCUCUGCCCAGACGCCUACAGCUACGCCUACGACGACAAGAGCAGCACAUUCACCUGCGCCGCCGGAACAAACUACCAAGUCACCUUCUGCCCGUAG
rnacentral:rRNA from 1 species